UACGUAGGGUGCGAGCGUUAAUCGGAAUUACUGGGCGUAAAGCGUGCGCAGGCGGUUUCACAAGCUCGAUGUGAAAGCCCCGGGCUUAACCUGGGAAUGGCAUUGAGGACUGUGGAGCUCGAGUGCGGCAGAGGGAGGUGGAAUUCCACGUGUAGCAGUGAAAUGCGUAGAGAUGUGGAGGAACACCGAUGGCGAAGGCAGCCUCCUGGGCCGACACUGACGCUCAUGCACGAAAGCGUGGGGAGCAAACGGG
rnacentral:rRNA from 1 species